rnacentral:misc_RNA from 1 species
AAAGUCGUAACAAGGUCUCCGUUGGUGAACCUGCGGAAGGAUCAUUAACGUGGGGCUCCGGCCCCGCCGAGAUAGAACCCUUGCCUUUUGAGUACCACACGUUUCCUCGGCAGGCCCGCCUGCCAAUGGGGACCCAAACACAAACCUUUGAAUCACCUGUCACAGUCUGAGAAAACAAAACAAAAAUCAAAACUUUCAACAACGGAUCUCUUGGUUCUG